UGCACAUAAAAAAUAAACACCAAAGUGACAAAAUAAAAAUAACUGAAAUAUUUGUACAUAUGUAGGAAUGUACCCACGUGCACUUCCUGCAGUAUUGGUUGUACCUGUUUGACAAGACAGGUAAGCAGUGCUACCGUAGUAUUUAAAUGGUACAGAUGUAAAAGUGUGCUGUCGCUGACCACAUAUGAUGUUAACCAGGCAAUGACCGUACCGCCGACUUAUUUACUGUGUCGGUGUCUUGGAAGUUCACAGGAUUGUAGACUGUGGACCAGAGAAGAAGACCAGAUGUAAAUGUUGAACAAAAGGAAGUCUUCAAGAAAAAAUUUCCAAGUAACCAUCAAACAGUGGAGAAAGUUCAACUAACUGCAGAACCAAAGAAGAGAACAAAAUUGCCAAAAGAAACCCCUGGACACACAGCAACGCUUAUGGCCAGAGCAAACUUUCUAAAG